CCCUUAGAUGUCCUGGGCCGCACGCGCGCUACACUGAUGCAUGCAACGAGUUUAUAACCUUGGCCUGAAAGGUCUGGGUAAUCUUUUGAACGUGCAUCGUGAUAGGGAUAGAUUAUUGAAAUUGUUAAUCUUGAACGAGGAAUUCCUAGUAAACGCGAGUCAUCAGCUCGCAUUGAUUACGUCCCUGCCCUUUGUACACACCGCCCGUCGCACCUACCGAUUGAAUGGUUCGGUGAAGAUCUCGGACUUCGAUAUUUAUUCUUUAUUGAGUUUAUAUUGUGGGAAGUUAUCUAAACCUCAUCAUUUAGAGGAAGGUGAAGUCGUAACA
rnacentral:rRNA from 1 species